rnacentral:lncRNA from 1 species
UAAUGAUUAGUGGCUAGGGUUUAGUUUAUGGAAGAUUGGGAUUGACAUUGGAUUAGGGUUUAUAUUUCCGUGUAGGGUUUAGUGAUUAAUUGAUAGGGUUUAGUUUAUGUACGAUUGAGGUUGACAUUGGGGAAAUCAUUACCACCUUCCAUGCAAUCAUAGACAUUUCAUAUUUUCACCAAUAUGUAUUAUGUUAUUUAUUUUGUUCCAUUCUAUUUGGGUAAGGGUUUAGUGAUUAAAGUUUAGGAUUUAGUAUUUGGAAGGAAAAGGGGUAUGGUUGAAGUCAUCAUUAACUUCUUUCAAUGCAAUCAUAGACAUUUCAUAGUUUCAAUAAUAUGUACUAUAUUAUUUAUUUUGUUCCAUUCUAUUUGGAUUUUUGGUUUUAUGGUUUAUAUUUGGGUCUAGGUUUACUGAUUAAAGUGUAGGGUUUAGUAUUUAGGGGUUAGCGUGGGAUUAAAAAUCGGGGUUGGGAUAUGUUUAGUAUUUAAGGGUUGUAGGUGAGGUUAUCAUCCUAUACUAUUUC